rnacentral:misc_RNA from 1 species
UUGAAUUUAAUGUAGAGUUGGUUGUAGCUGGCCUGAUUCAAUAUCUGAGCAUGUGCACGCCUUCUCUUUCAUCCACACACACCUGUGCACCUGUGAGACAGAAGUGGGACUUUUAAGUUAAUUUAAUUUAAUUUAAUUUGACCCUCUGUCUACUCAAUCCACACAAACUCAAUUUAUUUUAAAAUGAAUGUAACUGGAUGUAACGCAUCUAAUAC